GCUAUCAUAGCUCAAAUGGUAGAGCAGUUGAUUACGAAUCAACAGGGUCCGGUUCGAUUCCGGGCGAUAGCU
rnacentral:tRNA from 1 species